AGGGACGGAGAAAACAUAACGUGACGUAUGACAAGAUGGAAGCAGGAAGUCCACAAAGUUAUAUUUCAAUGACUUCAUUAAUAAAUGGUACUUCCAACUUUAUAAUAAUCAGUGGGAUAAAAAUAAGGUAGAAUGAGGUUCCCAACAAGACAGGCAUUCACAAGCUCAAGCAAGAAAUGAGUCCUUAUCUGAAGAGCCUGGAGCUAAUUAGCAAAAAUGGCAAAGAGCUGGUUUAGACUUGCAAGGAUGUGGAUUACAAAGAAAAAAAUAUAUAUAUGUUUGUUCUACUUGGAAAAAAGGAAAGAAAGAUGAGGAAGAAGAAGAUGGGGGAAAAAAAAAGAGCAGUUAAUCACAGUUACCUUGCAGUACACUGCACUUCUAAUGUUCAAACCAUUGGACCAGUUAAACUUCGUACUACGUAUGCUUGAUAUUAAUCUAAGCAAUGACAUUCACAAUUCAAAUAAACAAUUCACAAUUACAAUUCACAGUUCUUCACUUAUAAGCAGAUUCACAAUUUAAAUAAACAUUACUAAACAAGGAGAACAUUAGUAUUUGUUGUCAAGGUACAUAAAUACUGUGAAAUACUGUGUAUAAUACAAUUCAGGCUGGUUAGUGAGCUAGAGCUGUACUAUCUCUGAGCAGACCCAGGAACUGUCUACAAGGCAUUUCUCUACUUGACACAUUUAAACCAAAUGUUUAAGGCAAGGUGAGCUGCUGUUUCAGAACUGAAACAUUAAAAAUAGAAGCAGAAUCCAUUCGAAGACUGAACCAAUGUCACUCAUUUCCAUAGCUUUCCUAGACCUGAAGGAGGUAUGGCCGUACCCUGAAGUCAAAUGCCCUCCUCAUCUCAGCUCAGAUGAAUGGCCUCAUUUGGGAACUUGCGGAAGGACCUGUAAACUUUGUGGUAAUGAGAUUAUGGAUUUGCUAGCUACAGGCAUUCAUUAGCACACUGCUCUGCGCAGAUGGCCUGCAAUUUGUACAUUUUCCAGUUUAUAAACAACUCAGCAAAAGCUGACCAUCAAAGCCAAUUAGAAUUCAUGCCAGGCAGCAGGUUCCCCUUCCAGUAGCACCAGCCUUUGUAGCUGCAGACAGGGCUGGUGUGACGAACCUAUCCACUGCUUCUCACAUCUCCGCAGCUGGGGGCUUCCCUUGGAAAGAGCUGGGCUUUGUGGCACUGCUGCCUUCCAUGGUGACUCUGGGAGUAAAUAAAGGGAUUAUUUUACGCACUGCCAAAAGAGGCGUUAGCUGAGUAUGACGUGUGUUACACAUUUUUGCUCAAUAUACUCUUUUCUCAACCUACAAUUAGCCAAAAAUCGUAACGAAACCAGAAAACUACCAAAGCCUCCAGUAAGAUGUAAGACAUCUACCUCCAGAUCUGUGUUCUUAUAGAGCUUUUCCAGGAGUGCGUGCAUCCCGAGCCACUCUUUACUGCAUGCAGCACUGCAACGCUUGGUGGAUGAGAAAUGCUUACAUUAAUGCAAAGCAUUUAAAAGAAUGAUGUUCUCUGUGAAGGGAGAACAUUAAACAGACGGAACAUAAACGUGAAAGCAUUGAGAGAUGUGCAAUCAAAAGCGAUUUGUAAACAGGGGCAUGCAUUGCCUUUUGCUUCUUAUCUGGAGACCUGAUGACACUGUGAAUACACAUCUCUAAUUCCAGCACUCAAAGAGAGAAAGACUGCUUUGACCUCAGCAAAUGAAUGCCUUCGAAGGUGGAAAACCAAGAGAUGAAUUCAAAGGAAAAUCUGAUAAAUGCAAAGGCCUCACGAUGCCAGAAGGCUGUUGUUACUUACAGCAACUACUGGAGAAUUUCAUCACACAAACGUACACACAACCAAUACACAAAAUAAAGGCAACAAAGGAAGUUACCGCAUCUCUCUGUUGAAAUGAGGUGCGUGGUCUGAACUGCCAACCUGUCAUCUCGGAACUGCAGAGCUGGAACUCAUUGGUAUUUAACUUCCCUCGAUUUUCCACCACUGGAGGCCAUGCAGUUGCUCAUAACAGUCCAAAAUCCUUUUCUUUCUAAGCAUUAGUCUGUCUUAAGUCCUGACAUGUUUAUAUUUUGAACUAGACUUAUAAUGCCCGUCGAUAAUUGCAGUAAGUUUAUAAAAACAUAUCUGAUUUUUUUUUUUCCUCCUGAAAUAGAUCUGCUCAGAACUCAAAUACCGCCAUCAAUUACUGACAAAGGCUAAUCACGUAAUGAUCUACGAAAGAAAUGCAGGGGCAGAUAUGGAUUCAUUCAGCUACUACAUAUUGGGUGGCAGCAGAUGAAUUAGCAUAAUCAUAAAUUAUUCUAAUUACAGAAAGCAAUUAUCAAAGAGCAGCUUACAGUAUUAUAAAAGGGAAAUCAGUUAAAUGCACCGUAUCCCAGGUUCUCCUGCACAUCAAGACUAAGGGAAGGCCUGGCAGGCUUCCGGCACUUUCUCUGCUGACUCCAGAGCACACACUGGGAGAUGAUAGUGCCAGGCUCACAUUGGUGCAGAUACAAAGAAGAAACCUCCCAUCCACAUAAAUCAUUGUGGGAGAUUAAUAAACACAAAAGCCCGUCUGCAGGAUCCAAGCAAUUCACAUUUACCUUCACGAUCACAUACUAUUUUAUCAACGCAAUCAAAGAACAUUGAUCUUCCUUGCAAGAAGCCUACCUCCAGAAACACACAGGCCUCAGGUCAACUACCUGCUGAAGUUUUUUAAAUUAAUCCACCGAGAGAACACUGUUACCGAAUCGUUUAAUCACAGCGCUGUCAUGCUGUUCCGGUGCCUUGUAGGAGCAUAAACCUCAAACAGCAAGUGACGUCGAGGGAGGCUGUGCUCCCGUGCAGGCCAGACACCAGUGCUGUCUUCUCUUCUGGAACUCAUACUUGGAGCUACGUCCCAUUUACAACGAAGCAAGCAUUUUUGUUUGUGUGCUUUAAAAUCUCAACCAAAAACUGAUAUUGGUGAAUAAUCCAGGAGGGGAAAAGGGCUGAUGUGUUGGAGGGGGAAGGGAGUAACAAAAAAUAAAUAUGUAUUUCAUAUAUGCUCUUGUAUAAAUAUAAUGGGAAGAUAACAGCUUGUAUGUGCUUCUCCAUUUGUAAUGCUAAAGACAAAGGUGAGCAAUAGGUUGACUCAGACAUGCUAUUUUAAACCACUGUUAAGAGCAUACAUUGCUAAAUGUACCCUUGCUAAUGGUAUGUUGUCUGAUGAUUUAAAAUAAAAGAAUCAGUGCUAAUAAAGCCAAAGCUUUUCCUUUUCUAGAUAACACAAGAUCUCAGGGCAUACAGGAAUCCACAGACCUCGUUUUAAGCGUGCUGCACAAAGUGCGCGUUUCUCAGUGUUGUGGUGUGGGGUUCUCAGAAGGAAACAAGGAACCCACAGCACUCAUGUCUCCAGUUGUGCUCACGGUGCCACUAAGCUUUUCUGCCAAUCAUUUUUAAGUAGCAGUCUUCAGAUAUGACAAUUUCAAGAAUGUGACUGUGAGAUAUCUCUACGAGAAAACCCCUUUUUAUCCACGGUGAACCCUCCUGUUCUACGUGCUAAAAAAAUGUAUCUAAAAACCAACUCUCUCUAUGCAAAGAAAUACAAUUGUUAACCAACGUGCAACUCAGGCUGUGUCACUAAACGCAGCCGAGCAGAUCUGCAACACAAAUAACUUAUUGCUUUCUGUUGUAACGUUGUUUGCAAUCUGAAAAUGUAUACCUGUAUGUUCGGAGAGGUAAAACAUUGCCAGAACCUGUGAUGUUGUACAAUUCCAGUUUCACAGUAAUUCAAUGAUACUUAUUCCAGGUGAUCAAGUGACUAGCACAAGUACAUUGCACCAGCAGAAUCUGAAUAGAAAGAACCCUUGCUAACUUAGACAAAGAAAGGCACGUUGUGAAAAAGAAAUACAACUACAAAGUGCAAUAACAAAUGUGACAAUAACAAAGUGCUGCUUUGAAGUCUUAAAGCAUUUAGAUAUCUGCCAGGGGAUGCUUUCUCAUACCAGGUUGGCUGGAUAGGUUGAAUGUUUCAACCUACUAACAAACAUUUCACCUCUGAAACAGCAUAACAUUCUGACUACAGUAGCACCAACAUGGUAUAAUCACUAUGUUGUUCUGCUUUCCUUUGAUCUCAUUGUGAUAGACACCAAGGUUAGUCUGUCUGCACUGCAACUACAUACGUACACACACGUGUCUAUACAUAAUGGAAGGAAAAAUAUGUUUGCAUUAAGAUUCAGCAUGUGUGUUAGUGACAAGAUUCAGGAAAUAGAAAUGCUUGGAAAUACACAAUUAAACUAAGAUUUAGGCAGGAACAGGGAAAUGAAGAGUUUUUGCAAGAACGGAUCAUCGGGGCACAUACACAUCUCCCUUGCUUGUGGAAGAUGGCAGCUUA